rnacentral:misc_RNA from 1 species
ACAGAUUCAGCAACUCUUAUAAGCAAUUACAUCACCAAGGAAAGAACUACAAAACCAUUGUAAUCAAAUUCAUAGAAAUGAGAAAGAAGCACUAUUACAAGUAUGUCAACUAUCUCCAGCUUAACAAACAAACAUAUUUCAGCACCAUAAUAGUGUAAUCUAUUAUCUGAUUAUGAUCAAAAAGUUAACUAAUAAUCCAACAUAACCAAAGAACUAUCAAAACUGUAAAUUCCAAAGCUUGAUCAGCACAAAACCAAAAAGACUAAAACUUAUUGAAGAUCAAGCUAAGGGUUUACGCUUUUCGUCCGUAUCGAAGAUAGCAAAUAACGCCAAUCACUGCAACUGCGACAACAGAUGAUGCAGCAACCACUGGCAAGUUUACAUCACCACCAAGAAAACCAACGCUAUCAUCACCCACAGGAAUGCCAUUAAUAUUGCUAGCAACAAAUCUUUCAGCAAUAAUCCUUUCCUUCUCCAUCAAUUUCUUCUCCAACUCUGCGGCUUUCUCAAUCAUUUCCUUAACCCUCUUCUCUAAUUCCUCCUUCACCAAAUGAAGCCCUUUCUUCUCCUCUUCCCAUUCCUCAUUGUUCACAACAGUACCCUUCAAUUCCUCAAUAUGCUUCUUUAAAAUCCUAAUUUCUCCUUCCUUCCCUUCAACUUCUUCUUUCUGAUGGUUUCCACUAGCUUCUAACUUCUCCAAUUUCGACAACAACAGAUUCUUCUCACUCUCAACAGCCUCCAGCUUCACACUCUUCUCAUUUACAGUACUCUUCAAUCCCUCCAACGCCGAUUUCACCUCUGACAACUCAGAAUUUGAACCUUGUAUAUCACUCAUAGCAGUAAUGAGAUCAUGUUGCAGCUGAGAUACCUCCCCUUCCAUCUGAGCAGCUCUAGCGGCAACUGAUCCUAAAGCCUUGUUCUCCGACUCGAAAUUCUCCACCUUCUUCAACAACUCAUCCUUUUCGUUCUGAGAUUCCUCGAUUGAACUCUUGAGCUUCUCGAUUCUCUGUUUGAUCACAUCGUUCUCGUGAAGAAGCUGUGUUUUCUCUUGCUCAAGCGCCGCUAUCUUCUGUUUCAGUGCAGAGGUUUUCGACGCAGCAUCGGUAGUUUCGUCAACGGCGAUCUCCACCGGCGCAUCGUCGAAAACCUCGCCGUUGGUAACGGUAUCAUCCGCCAUAGUCAAAUCAGAUAAACAGUAAACAGAUUAAUCAAAAAAACUGAGCUUCAAUGAACUCCAAGCAGCCAAAAUUAGGGUUUUUG